AAGAUCACUUCAAACAGGAGCAUUGAUUUGUCCUUUGUUCAUAAGUGCUUCUCUUUGGGGUAGUUUUA
rfam:Danio rerio chromosome 4, GRCz11 reference primary assembly.